GUCGGCAACCAUACCACGUCGAAGGCACCGGUUCUAGUCUGAUCACUUACGUUAGGCAACGUUGGGCCCAGUUAGUACUUGCAUGUGUUACCGCCU
rnacentral:rRNA from 1 species